GACAGAGUGGAAAAGGUAUCGUUAAAUUCAUUAGGGUUAGACUUUACUGGUAAAGGUGUACUUUUGGACUUACUUUUCGUCAUAAUAAAUAGGACCAACAGCCUGGUGAAGUCUGAGCUUCUUCGUUGCUGUCCAAUGUGCACAUGGAUUUGCUGCAACCAGCCGGGUUAAGGAUCAACCCAUCAACAGCCUGGUGAAGUCUGAGCUUCAUUGUUGCAGUCCGAUGUGCACAUUGAUUUGUUUCUGCCAGCUGUUGAAUGGUGUGGCGAGCCGUUGCAUGCAGACCGUGGUGCUGGUGUGUUGAGCUGCUGCAAAUCAUGUAGAAUGUCAAUGUUGAAUAUAUCCAACGUCAACUCGG